GAUGAACGCUGGCGGCGUGCCUAAUACAUGCAAGUCGAGCGAACAGACGAGGAGCUUGCUCCUCUGACGUUAGCGGCGGACGGGUGAGUAACACGUGGAUAACCUACCUAUAAGACUGGGGUAACUUCGGGAAACCGGAGCUAAUACCGGAUAAUAUAUUGAACCGCAUGGUUCAAUAGUGAAAGACGGUUUUGCUGUCACUUAUAGAUGGAUCCGCGCCGCAUUAGCUAGUUGGUAAGGUAACGGCUUACCAAGGCAACGAUGCGUAACCGACCUGAUAGGGUACACGGCCACACUGCACCGAAGGUACAGACCACACUCCUACACGAGGAGACAGUAGGGAAUCUGCCGCAAUGGGCGAAAGCCUGACGGAGCAACGCCGCGUGAGUGAUGAAGGUCUUCGGAUCGUAAAACUCUGUUAGUAGGGAAGAACAGAUGUGUAAGUAACUAUGCACGUCUUGACGGUACCUAAUCAGAAAGUCACGGCUAACUACGUU
rnacentral:rRNA from 1 species